CAGCGCUCCAGCGCGGGGCCGGAGACCCCCUCUCUGGGUGGCAGAUAUCGCGGCUCGCGCCUGCUGCUUGCAAGUGAGGUCCUGUUCCCGAUCCUUCCAUGGCUCCUCUCGGUCGGUGAUGGAGAGCAAACUGCAAUGGGGCACACACAAGGAUGCACCUCCAAAACCCAAUCGCAACAACAUUGGAAAUACGAGAGGACAGAAACAAAAACGAAAACACCCAAAACCAAAAAAAUGAAGCUGAUUGGGGGAACCCAGUCUUGGAACAAAUAAACUCAAGACUCUGGCUUCAGCCAUCCUCCCAGUUCUUUCCUGCCUUCUCAGGCACCUCUACUCCUUUACAGCCUUUGGUGGUUGUUUUUUUUUUUUUUUUUUUUUAUCAAUGGAGAGUCUUUAUAACUCCACUCACCGUGUGUACUUUCUGGCCUUGCUUCUGGAUGUUCUUUCAUUGAGUUGUAUUUUUUCUUUAGUUGUUACUGCUAGAGUACUGUGCUCAGUCAUCAGUGAAGAAGGUGCUGUUAAUACCAGUGGGAAGCAGAAGCAAGAGUACUCGGAUGGCACUGAGUGGUGCGACCAUAGCACUGUGCAAUUCUGCAUCACACAAGCGGACGUACGCCCCUUCAAACCUCUUUCAUUUGGAGAAAGUUGUGGUUUAAUACUGUGUCUCCUCUAGGCCUGACACCUGCAAACAUUUAUCCUUUUAUUUA